rnacentral:lncRNA from 1 species
GAUAGUUGUUGAUCUAAGCAGGAGGGGUCGAAGCCAGGCUCAAAACAAAUAUGGCUUGCCGGAGCAAGGACGGAGAUGGCCAUAAAAUUGAACCAACGAGAUCAGGGUGAAACUUAUUUGUGGUCGGACCAUGAAACCUCAGCAAACAAGAGCAUAUGCACCAUGGGAGGUUGAUAGGUGGUGAGACCGCCAUAGAUUCAAGCGAGGAGAUGGCCGGAGAAAGUAAUGAAACUCAUCGGAGAGGAGGGAAAAGGGAAGGUUAUAGAGAGAACCAGAGAUAGAGAGAUAAAGAGAUAGAGAGAGAGUCGGU